CGUAAGCUGGAAAAGAAGGGGUAUCCCCCCGUCAGGGGAUCGUUGUAUGCAAACGCUGUAAACCUCUAAAGGCUGUUCAGUUAAGUUUAUUCUAGUAGAAUCGGUGUGGUUUCGUUGGCCAUCGCAGAGCAUCACGUCUCGAGGAUGGUUCCACUACAUGCUGGCGGGAUACCUGCGAGUACGUUGGUGAAUGGCCAUUGACGCCACCUUCGCGUAGGCGGCUCGUCUUUAAGUGGAGCAGUUGUACAUACACCCUUCCAACCGGCUUUCCGGUAUAUUACUCAAACCCUCUGUGUACCUAUCCAUGUUGCUUCCCCACUGCUUAUAUGUGGUGGGGAAGGUCCAAUUCCAAACCCUUUAGCUAAACCACAGUCAGAAACAAAACAAAAAAACAGUUAAAACUUUCAACAACGGAUCUCUUGGUUCCCACAUCGAUGAAGAACGCAGCGAAAUGCGAUAAGUAAUGUGAAUUGCAGAAUUCAGUGAAUCAUCGAAUCUUUGAACGCACAUUGCGCCCUCUGGUAUUCCGGGGGGCAUGCCUGUUCGAGCGUCAUAAACAACUCUCCCCCAAACUCUUGUUGUGAGGGGGGUACUGGCCGGUAGGCGUUUGGCUCCACAGGCCUUUCGCCCGGCUCAAAUCAUUGGUCUGUAGGCCCGAGUGCAAACGGCGACGUAGUGGUAACAUUUUCCGUCGCGACUGUUUGCCUCAAGCUCCUAAGACAUUAAACGCUUUAUUGCGUCAAACCCAUUGAUUGACCUCGGAUCAGGUAGGGAUACCCGCUGAACUUAA
rnacentral:rRNA from 1 species